rnacentral:rRNA from 1 species
AGUGAACGCUGGCGGUAGGCCUAACACAUGCAAGUCGAACGGCAGCACAGUAAGAGCUUGCUCUUACGGGUGGCGAGUGGCGGACGGGUGAGGAAUACAUCGGAAUCUACUUUUUCGUGGGGGAUAACGUAGGGAAACUUACGCUAAUACCGCAUACGACCUACGGGUGAAAGCAGGGGAUCUUCGGACCUUGCGCGAUUGAAUGAGCCGAUGUCGGAUUAGCUAGUUGGCGGGGUAAAGGCCCACCAAGGCGACGAUCCGUAGCUGGUCUGAGAGGAUGAUCAGCCACACUGGAACUGAGACACGGUCCAGACUCCUACGGGAGGCAGCAGUGGGGAAUAUUGGACAAUGGGCGCAAGCCUGAUCCAGCCAUACCGCGUGGGUGAAGAAGGCCUUCGGGUUGUAAAGCCCUUUUGUUGGGGAAAAAAAGCAGCAGGUUAAUACCCCGCUGUUCUGACGGUACCCAAAGAAUAAGCACCGGCUAACUUCGUG